UCCGUAGGGUGAACCUGCGGAGGGAUCAUUACCGAGUUUACAACUCCCAAACCCCUGUGAACAUACCACUUGUUGCCUCGGCGGAUCAGCCCGCUCCCGGUAAAACGGGACGGCCCGCCAGAGGACCCCUAAACUCUGUUUCUAUAUGUAACUUCUGAGUAAAACCAUAAAUAAAUCAAAACUUUCAACAACGGAUCUCUUGGUUCUGGCAUCGAUGAAGAACGCAGCAAAAUGCGAUAAGUAAUGUGAAUUGCAGAAUUCAGUGAAUCAUCGAAUCUUUGAACGCACAUUGCGCCCGCCAGUAUUCUGGCGGGCAUGCCUGUUCGAGCGUCAUUUCAACCCUCAAGCACAGCUUGGUGUUGGGACUCGCGUUAAUUCGCGUUCCCCAAAUUGAUUGGCGGUCACGUCGAGCUUCCAUAGCGUAGUAGUAAAACCCUCGUUACUGGUAAUCGUCGCGGCCACGCCGUUAAACCCCAACUUCUGAAUGUUGACCUCGGAUCAGGUAGGAAUACCCGCUGAACUUAAGCAUAUCAAUAAGCGGAGGAA
rnacentral:rRNA from 1 species